CCUACGGGAGGCUGCAGUGAGGAAUAUUGGUCAAUGGACGAGAGUCUGAACCAGCCAAGUAGCGUGAAGGAUGACUGUCCUGUGGAUUGUAAACUUCUUUUAUAUGGGAAUAAAAUGUUCCACGAGUGGGCUUUUGUGUGUACCUUAUGAAUAAGGAUCGGCUAACUCCGUGCCAGCAGCCGCGGUAAUACGGAGGAUCCGAGCGUUAUCCGGAUUUAUUGGGUUUAAAGGGAGCGUAGGUGGAUUGUUAAGUCAGUUGUAAAAGUUUGCGGCUCAACCGUAAAAUUGCAGUUGAAACUGGCAGUGGUGAGUACAGAAGAGGUGGGCGGAAUUGGUG
rnacentral:rRNA from 1 species